CACGUAGGGUGCGAGCGUUUGUCCGGAAUUAUUGGGCGUAAAGAGCUCGUAGGCGGUUUGUCACGUCUGCUGUGAAAACUGGAGGCUCAACCUCCAGCCUGCAGUGGGUACGGGCAGACUAGAGUGCGGUAGGGGAGAUUGGAAUUCCUGGUGUAGCGGUGGAAUGCGCAGAUAUCAGGAGGAACACCGAUGGCGAAGGCAGAUCUCUGGGCCGUAACUGACGCUGAGGAGCGAAAGCAUGGGGAGCGAACAGG
rnacentral:rRNA from 1 species